rnacentral:rRNA from 1 species
CCGAGCACUCCUACGGGAGGCAGAGUGAGGAAUAUUUGGUCAAUGGGCGCAAGCCUGAACCAGCCAUGUCGCGUGCAGGAAGACUGCCCUAUGGGUUGUAAACUGCUUUUAUACGGGAAGAAUGUGACCUACGUGUAGGUUUUUGCCGGUACCGUAUGAAUAAGCAUCGGCUAACUCCGUGCCAGCAGCCGCGGUAAUACGGAGGAUGCAAGCGUUAUCCGGAUUCAUUGGGUUUAAAGGGUGCGUAGGCGGAAGUGUAAGUCAGGGGUGAAAGUUUGCAGCUCAACUGUAAAAUUGCCUUUGAUACUGCAUUUCUUGAGUACAUUUGAGGUAGGCGGAAUGUGUUGUGUAGCGGUGAAAUGCUUAGAUAUAACACAGAACACCGAUUGCGAAGGCAGCUUACUAAACUGUAACUGACGCUGAUGCACGAAAGCGUGGGGAUCGAACAGGAUUAGAUACCCUGGUAG